AGAACCACACCAAUCUAUGAGUCUCCAUACCACAAUCUCAAAUCACAGAAUUUUGCUAAUGGUUUAACCCCUGAGGAUGGUACUGUGGUAGAUUACAUGCCUCUUGCAGAUGCUGGAGAUGUAGAAGGUGACAAGUCCAAUGAGAAGUUGGUCCGGAGACGCCAGAAAUCUGAAGCAGAUUUUAGAACUGGAACACCAGAAAGGCUGUUGAAGGAAGAAAACAUUGGUGGAAGCAGUGAUUUCUCAACUGUAGCGGGAAAAGGUUUAGCUAUGAGACCAAAAUCAGCGAGCCGAACAGAGCUGUGCACCGAGUCAGAGCCAGGAUGUUUAAAUUCUAUACCAGUGGGUUUGGGAGAUUCUUUUAUUUCUGAUGGACCACUGACUGGAGUUCGUAAAUCAUCAAGUACACCAAGUCUGCUUGACCAAGACAACAAUAAUACCUCUUCUGUUUGGCCAACUUCAAAGUGGAGUUUGAAAUCUGACCUGCAGGCUUUCUCGUCUGCAGCAAUAAAUAUACCUAUAUUCGAUGGUUUGCCAAAGCCAAUAUCAGGCUAAUCAAGGGCAGCUUUGCCCUUGAUUAGCCUGAUGUUUUGCAAUCUGAUGGAAAUUUUUUGUUCUGUAUUUAUGAUCUAAAGGGAAUGGAAUGUCGCAGCCUCUCACUGCCAUGUGUCAUAUUGCUGCAAAGUGCAAUUGAAAAAGGAGUAAGGCCAGGAAUAUUAUAAAAAAAAAAGUAAGAAAAAUACAAUAUUGGGUUAUCCAUUUGAGAAAAAAAAAAGGUUGAAAUUGUCAUUUUGACAGCUCUGCAAUCUCAAUUUUUAACAGGGUGUUCUAAUCAAUACAAUAAUGAAAACAUAUUUCUCCAAUAAAUCAAUGUAAUAUUCUCCGUUGGAAU
rnacentral:misc_RNA from 1 species